rnacentral:rRNA from 1 species
CGGGUGAGUAAUAUAUCGGAACGUGUCCAAUAAUAGGGGAUAACUAGUCGAAAGAUUAGCUAAUACCGCAUACGCCCUGAGGGGGAAAGUGGGGGGAGUCUUCGGACCUCACGUUAAUGGAGCGGCCGAUAUCUGAUUAGCUAGUUGGUAGGGUAAAAGCCUACCAAGGCGACGAUCAGUAGCUGGUCUGAGAGGAUGAUCAGCCACACUGGGACUGAGACACGGCCCAG